GGCGACAAUACUUCAGAGAAUCAUUUCUAUAGUAGUCGGCCUUCCUCUUGGUUCCCCAAAGGAGCUACAGAGUCCACCCUGGUUGAUGAUGAUUUGCAUAUCCUCACUGCUUUAGAGUGAAAUACUUGUUCUUCGAUUGGUGGCUUCCGAUCCGUCUCUUCUUGAGACGGCGGCUCAGCGGCGGCUUUGGCUGGGCACUGGCUGUAUAGGAAGUGAUGAUGAUCUCGUCCCCAUUUCAUGGUCUGCUUUCGAGCGCAUACAAUGGGGUGGGCUGUGUUGGACGUCUGACAGGA
rnacentral:snoRNA from 1 species